rnacentral:rRNA from 1 species
AAGGGCAUGGCCGAGUAGCCAAGUUUGGAAGGGAUAAACGCUGAAGGCAUCUAAGCGUGAAGCCCCCCUCAAGAUGAGAUAUCCCAUACGCAAGUAGUAAGACCCCUUGAAGACUACGAGGUUGAUAGGUCGGGAGUGGAAGUGCGGUAACGUACGUAGCUGACCGAUACUAAUAGGUCGAGGGCUUAACCUG